CAAAAGUAACUUCAAGAGAUAAUGUGGCUUUGUUAGUUUAUCACAGUCAGGUGAUGUGGAAGAUGUUUUUCCAAGGUUUGUGUUAAGCUGAGGUUGUACAGCUUGCUGAAAAGCUUCUGUGCAACCACCCUUGCCCUAAUUUCUCCUACAGAGAUGAGAUUAGUUUGACUGAAAAGAGUUUUUUUAAUGUUUUUCUUUCAGGCAAUGGGCACAGGAAAAUGUUUCAAAUUAGCAUCCCGCUGGCAGAAGCGGUUGCAACGUGAAUUCCUUUCUAGCUGGCCUAGCAGCAGCCACCAAGCAGAAACCAACUGGAAUAAAUGCUUCUGCUCCUGAGCAAACCAGAAGCAGACCUGAGAGCAGGAAUUAGAUGAUAUUCUGCACCAGCACAGAAUAAACUGCAUGAGAACCAUUUAGUGCAUUGAUUGAUAUCAAGCGGUUGCAGUUUACUUCUUUUACCUGCCCUAGAGGCAGUCCUUAUGGAGAAACCUUCAACAACCAAACACAUCCAUAACCUUUGCAGUAUUCAAAAGGACUGUAGCAAUAGUUGGGUUCACGCUUACAUUCAUGAUACAACAUUUUCUGAAGAUUAAAUUAAAUGGUUAUGAUAGGAAAACAAUGUUCUGGUUGAGAUACUAAACAUUUGUGAUUACGUAUGGAUAUCAUGCACAAGGUAUUAAUACUGUGACUUUAAGGAAUCAUGUUUCUUACUCCAGUUUAUCUUGAUAACUUUAGGUUUAAAACUUCCCAGGAAGGUGAGGGGAGAGUAUGAAUUGUCUAUGUAAAGAACAUUGCAUAUGGAAGAGUUGUGCAAAGAGAUCUCUUGUGAAGAAAGAAGCAUGCACAGUAUCCAGACCAAGAAGUGCCACUAUGUCACCAUGUUUAUCCUUAAUGGAAUAUUCAAGCUGGAUGUUGCUCAGGUUCUUUUCCUUCACAAUUUGCUGUCUGCUUCAUGAAGAUAAAGAUUGCCUGAUUUUUCUAUUUCUAAGACAAAUAAAGAAGCGCAACAGCUUGAUUUUAAGUCACUGUUAUUUGCAAGCUUUCAAGAGAGUUUACGUAAACUAG
rnacentral:lncRNA from 1 species